AGAUUCCGGUGAGGCAUCCUGUAAUGCAGAAGAGUCUUGCACACAGAGGGAUUUAAACUGGCUGUGGGUUGCUGUUUACCCUUGAUUAUAGUCAGAUUUGCUGGAGCAUCCUGGCCGUGGAGGAGCUGGCAUCGGGUCUAGGUGGUGAAUGGAGGGCACCUUCCUCUAAAGCAGCUCUGAGGAAAAUCUCAACUACCUCCUGGGAGCCAGGGUCUCAGAGCCUGCUGGCUGUGGGUCCCUCCGAUCUGAACACAAAACCUCCGAGGCAAAGUUAGCAGAGAGAUGAUUGAAAUAACGCUCUCUUGUUCUUGCUGCGAGUGUACCCUCCUCCUUUCGAGGAGUUGGGAGAAGGGCUGGCAACUAGAAGAGUCAUUGGCUUCAGUUUUAACUCCUUGAAGUCCAUCGCUCUCGGCAGUUGUUUUCACUUCUUCAUUGAAACAUAACGUUUAGUAUACGUAGCAAAUUAGAAACACUUGCUUUUGCUCUGUAAAAGAAGAGUGUACAGGAAUCUUAUGAAAGUUGUUUGGGAAAAAAAUAUGAUUCCAGUGCACACAGUUCCUCCAGAGAAUGGUUCUAUAUGAACAGAAUUUUACUCCUAAUUAAACACAGAGCAUUUUUAUCUUAUUUCUUAGCAUAAAUGUAGCCAUGCAUGAGACCUCAGUAGGAUUUCAUCUUUGCUCAGGGAAGCAAUUAGAUUUAGCUCUCGUUUGUUUUCUGUGAAUGAUAGGAAAGACAAGUCGGUGGUACUAAAGUAUCUCUAACACUUCUUUGCUUAGAAACGUAUUUUGUUUUCAUUAUAAACACUACGGAUUGAAUGUAACGCACCCAUGAAUCUCUGCACCAACCCACCCCCCAGUAAUCCUCCUCCUCUUGAGCCGAUUGUGAAAAUGAGUAUAGAAAUUAGCAUUUUCAAACUUCUGUUGACUUUUAUCCCCAGAAUUAAUUUGCUCCAGGUUGGUAGCUUCCAAACUGUUUGUUUUAACAGUGAAUGCUUCCAUCAAACAAAAUGUUAAGUGGAAUUUUAAUGCAGAAAAAAAGAGAUGAAGGCAGAGACACUGCGGGCAUAGCUGGGGAAGCACUCCGUCAGCCUCCUUCUCUGCCCCACCAGCGACGUCGGGGGCGGGGGGGGGGUGCCCUGCGAUGGAACACCCUCUGCACUUAGAGCAGGCACUUCACCCAGUUGCUUCCGUGAUCUGCGAUGAGAGUGUUGUUGGCGUUGGGCCUUCCUUCCCCUCCUUGAUGAGCUCUUCUGAAUGGGGCACUCAUGGUGACGGCUCUUUCCCUGUCACUGCCUUUGGGUUGUUCUUCUCAGUUAAGCUACAGUUAGUCACAAACGUAAAAGCAUACCACCUGAGCCAACCAGUGAUUUUUGUCUGUCCUGAAAUUGGACUUUUGCAUUCGACUCAUCUUUUGCGUUCGGCUCCAAUGACGCAUUGUCACUGCUUUUUAUUCUGUGCCAGGAAGUUUUUCUCCUGGUGGAUUUACCUUUAAGUCUGUAACUAUGGUGCUCGCACCAUGGUAGAUGCUCACGUUUCCUUACCUUAUAGGAAUGAGCUUUUUCCUCUUAUACCCCGUUCUCAGUAAUGGUGUUCCUGCUUGUUUUCUUUCCACCACUGGAUAAUAAAAUGUAAUAGCAUUAUUUCACAGU
rnacentral:lncRNA from 1 species